GUGAGGAAUAUUGCGCAAUGGAGGCAACUCUGACGCAGCCAUGCCGCGUGCAGGAAGAAUGCGCUACGCGUUGUAAACUGCUUUUAACCGGGAAGAAACCCCAGGACGUGUCCUGGGUUGACGGUACCGGAGGAAUAAGCACCGGCUAACUUCGUGCCAGCAGCCGCGGUAAUACGAAGGGUGCAAGCGUUAUCCGGAUUCAUUGGGUUUAAAGGGUGCGUAGGCGGAGCGUUAAGUCAGUGGUGAAAUCCUGCAGCUUAACUGUAGACUUGCCAUUGAUACUGGCGCUCUUGAGUGCGCUUGAAGUGGGCGGAAUGUGCCGUGUAGCGGUGAAAUGCUUAGAUAUGGCACAGAACACCAAUUGCGAAGGCAGCUCACUAAGGCGAUACUGACGCUGAGGCACGAAAGCGUGGGGAUCGAACAGGAUUAGAAACCCGAGUAGUCC
rnacentral:rRNA from 1 species